rnacentral:rRNA from 1 species
GACAGAGGAUGCAAGCGUUAUCCGGAAUGAUUGGGCGUAAAGCGUCUGUAGGUGGCUUUUUAAGUCCGCCGUCAAAUCCCAGGGCUUCAACCCUGGACAGGCGGUGGAAACUACCAAGCUGGAGUACGGUAAGGGGCAGAGGGAAUUUCCGGUGGGAGCGGGUGAAAGUGCUGUAGAUAUCGGGAGGAACACCAGUGGCGAAGGCGGCUACCUGGCACAUAACGUGACGCUGAUACGCGAAAGCGUGGGGAGCGAACCGG